UACGUAGGGGCCUAGCGUUGUCCGGAUUUAUUGGGCGUAAAGAGCUCGUAGGCGGCUUGUCGCGUCGACCGUGAAAACUCGCAGCUCAACUGCGAGCCUGCGGUCGAUACGGGCAGGCUAGAGUUCGGUAGGGGAGACUGGAAUUCCUGGUGUAGCGGUGAAAUGCGCAGAUAUCAGGAGGAACACCGAUGGCGAAGGCAGGUCUCUGGGCCGAUACUGACGCUGAGGAGCGAAAGCGUGGGGAGCGAACAGG
rnacentral:rRNA from 1 species